AUUGAACGCUGGCGGAAUGCUUUACACAUGCAAGUCGAACGGUAACAGGUCUUCGGAUGCUGACGAGUGGCGAACGGGUGAGUAAUAUAUCGGAACGUGCCCAGUCGUGGGGGAUAACGUAGCGAAAGUUACGCUAAUACCGCAUACGAUCUACGGAUGAAAGCGGGGGAUCGCAAGACCUCGCGCGAUUGGAGCGGCCGAUAUCAGAUUAGGUAGUUGGUGGGGUAAAGGCUCACCAAGCCAACGAUCUGUAGCUGGUCUGAGAGGACGACCAGCCACACUGGAACUGAGACACGGUCCAGACUCCUACGGGAGGCAGCAGUGGGGAAUUUUGGACAAUGGACGCAAGUCUGAUCCAGCCAUUCCGCGUGCAGGAUGAAGGCCCUCGGGUUGUAAACUGCUUUUGUACGGAACGAAAAGGUCUCUAUUAAUACUGGGGGCUCAUGACGGUACCGUAAGAAUAAGCACCGGCUAACUACGUGCCAGCCGCCGCGGUAACAC
rnacentral:rRNA from 1 species